rnacentral:rRNA from 1 species
AUGAGUCUUCUGUGUUGGAACUGCCACGGAAUUGGCAAAGCCACGAGAGUUCGAGAGCUUCGUGAUCUAGAGCAAUUUGCCCCCUCCAUCCCUUGCAUCCUGGAAACACAAGCAGAGAGUUCGAGAGUUGACAACAUGGUAGAAUACUUAGCUUACAAUAAAAGUUUUGUUGUAAGCAGUUUAGGUAGAAGUGGUGGUCUCGGUAUUUUUUGGAAUGAUAAAAUAAAACUCGACGUUAUUGGUUACCCCAAGUAUUACAUUGGUGUUCUGGUCGAUGACUUGGUGGAUAUUCAGGUCAGAGUGACUUUUGUGUACGGUGAACUACGCCUUUGCGCGGCACCCGGAGACAGGGUGGUAGUCGUGCACAUCCAAGGGAGCUACGAGCUGUUCUGGGAGCCCGGCACGAUGCACGUGUUCGCCUUGGGCGAGACGUUGUGGCAGCUCGUACACGUCGGCCCGGGUGCACAGGGCCGGCCCUGA